rnacentral:lncRNA from 1 species
UGCAGCGGAAAAAGGGAACACAUAGGAUUACACACAACUUCCAACGUAUGAAAAUCAUACUAUCACCUGUUCUUGGUUAAAUCAUCACAAGCCAACAAAUUACCAAACCAAAAGAAAUAUCAUAUUCUCUUAUCAUAAAUACAAAUACACUAAAAUGGGCUAGUGUUCACCUAUAGACAAUAUAAUAUCUCAUUUACUAACAACGAUAUUAAAAUGAUACUCAUAACUUCUAAAUGAGUGCUGCCAAUAUUACGACUUUCAUUACUUUAGAACCCAUGAUGACUUCAUAGUAAUAGAAGUAUCAUUUUUUUUAAACUCAACCAAGACUGAAGCAAAUACAUUCAAACAAAUUGCAUCGACAAUUUGAAGGCGAAUAAGUUAGUUCUCAAACUUCUGUGGCCAGAAGACAAAAUCAUCCACACGUUGAACACCAAAUCAUAAACAAACUCAAUACAUUUAAUUUGCACAAGUAGACUGAUGGGCUAUUAAAGAGUCAAUUACUAAAGGCUUUUUUAACAGUAGGAAGAUGUACAAUUUAAACAGACCACUAAUAGUACCUGAGAGUCUUACAAACGAGCAUGUACAUACGAGCAGAUAAUCGCGUUAACACUCACAUAGAGAAUAAAACUAGAAUAGUACGCCUUUUGUCUCUCCAGAUGUUAUACUAACAGCCCUAUACAAAACGAAUCCAAACAGUCCUACUUAAUACAAUCCUAUAAUUAACAGUCCAAUAGUACAAUGUAACCACAAGUUAACAGUAAACAUAAACAAAUACAAAUCAUCUAGUAUUUACUCUAUUAGGACAGAUUGAACACGUAUUAUUCAGGAUAUAAACGGUCAGCAUUUUUCAUUCCACUUCCAAUCUGAACUAUACACCAUAACUGGUUCAAUGUAUGCACCUGGAAAUGUGUUAUCAAGCCACAGAGCAUUUUUCAUUCCACUUCCAAUAUGAACUAUAAACCAUAAAUGGUUCAAAGUAUGUACCUGAAAAUAUGUUAACAAGCUAGAAAAUGAAGGAUCAGCAGCAGUAAGCGACAGAAAUCAGCAAUCAACGAACAUUAGUAAUGGGCAGAAAUCAACAACAGCCCAGAGCUUAACUCAACCAAACCAGGAACAGUAUGAACCCAUUAGAACCCACACACAACUUUUACCAAACCAAUUGGCAUUGAAUUUUGAUUCAGACAAACAGAUCCAAACCUAUAAACUACUCCAAGUAUUUUAACUCCAAGUACAUUCAUAAGUAAAAAGAGAAAAGGUUCUAGCUAUUUUCACUGAAUGAAACAAUAUUAUUCUUUUUCAACUUUUCCUCUUUAUUUUAAAGUAUCAUUUAACUCUGAAAGGGAACCUAAUGCUGAAAUCUCCACCCUAAAAAAUGAUCUUAAGGACUGAUUUUUAGCUCUUCCCAAAAAAUUCUCUCUAUUUAUGGAUGCCCCUUUUUUUCUCAGCUAUCUGUCCCUUCUCUAUAUUCUGAAAUUCUCUCUUGCUUCAAAGAUGUCUGCCUCUUUUAUCAACUAAAACUCCUUCUAUUUAUACACCACCACAACAGACCUGCCCUGCCCUAACUACCCCACCUAAAGUGCAAAAAUCUGCACAUUUCCACUCAAAAAUCCACUAAGAACACUUUUCCUACUUUAUUCCCCAAAUUAAGGCAUGUAAUAAGUCUUUGUUUCCCAUUUACUUAUUAGACUAUUGACAUUUAAUACCCCAUUGAUAAGACACUAUCAUUACAUCAUAAUCUAACUUUUUAUCCCCAAAUCGCCCCUGAAAUCCCUUGGAUAUUACUGCCCUGCCCGAACCAAUUAAUUUGUAUUGAACCCUUCCAUUCUAACAUGUUCAAACCUAUCAACUGACUCCUGAUUAAUCACCAAACACUACAACUAUAACCAAUUCCAUCCUAUCCAAACACAAAAAAAAUGAUUUCAGGCAGACUGCCAGAUUAAAUCAAGAAAUGGUAUGAAUUAAAGAGGAAAUGAGCAUGGAGUUGCUACUAUGAGCAAAACUGAACAUCACAUAGAUGUUCAAGAAAUUAACAGGAUGAACAGAGAUGCUUUCGAGGGUGUAGUCAAGCUAGACUCUGGACUCAGAGUAAUCACAUUAUCAUGCUCACUCUUAUAUCACAACACUAACAACAGGAAGAAGCAAAGCAAUAAUCACACUAGUAAUUCACAAUUGAAGAUAUUAUCAUGCUAUCAUCUAAAAGACGGAGUGACGACCAUAUUUAACGAUUAACAUACACAAUUGGUAACAACAAAGAGAUUUGCACAUACGAACAGGGCAAGCUGUACUGGCAGGCUUAUGUUCAUGUUAUUCUAUCAUCUAAGUAUAAAAACUAGUUGACGACAACAUUUAACAACUUAGCAAGCUACAACAUUUAACAGUCAAUCAACAAACAAACUAAACAGACUAACAAGGUGAUUCCAACGAUAUCAACAGUAAACCAGGGAACUUUAACUAAUCGACCGAACUAACUCGAAAGAUUUACAUGAUUUAUAGCAAAUACUUAACAAAUGAACAUAAACAUCAAACCAAAUAAAAGGUAAGGAGAUGAGAAGAAUUGAAAGAAAAAUGAAACGAACUAAACUAACAUGUAAACAAACACAAAUAAAACACAAACAAGAUAGAAGUAAAGGAAAAUACAUCAGAAUUUCAGACAAAAAUCCAAUCCGUUCUAAUAGAAACUUCGACUUGAUCUUGAAGCCGACAUGGACCUUAAUCGAGUGUUCUCGACUGAGAACACACGACUAAAGUCGAUAACGACCUCAAUUUUCCUACUUCGGCUCGAUUCCAGGCUUUGGUUCUUUUAGGGUUCACUCAAUAGAUUUGAAAUCCGAUAAGCUCUACUAUGAUUCGAGUAAAACUAACAUGGGUUUUGGGACGAGGGUAACUUGGGGGUUCAGUUGUGUAACUUUGGGGUCAAACGGACGGCUUAAGGUUUGGGGUCGGUUUCUUUGAUCUAAUAUUCGAGAACCUAGGCUAACAUUCGAGGAAAACUGUUGGGAUAGUAGGAAUGGGGAUGUUCAGAUGGUCAAAGGGUGUAAUUUUCAUGGCCAUCGGAGUAACGACCAUCGGUUUUUGGGGAGAGGAUUCAAAGGCGGCUCUAGGGUUUUAGUGGGAUCGCCUGGUUUGUUUGAGAGAGAGAGAGACGAAUGGGUGGGGUUAUUUUUUGGUAAAUG